AAUGAUCACUCUUGGAAAAUAUGUAUAUUCUUGUCUAUGCUUGGCUGAUUUUAAUCAUUUUUCUCAUUUUCAUCACUCGCUAGAUUUCAAAAUCAUCUUGAUUGAGGCUAAAAAAUGUUUAGGUAAUCCUCUAAUCGAUCUAAAUCAUGGUCGACUGACUACAAGGGAAAAUCAAUAAGUGCAUGGCAUUGAUUAUUGUUGCUAUAAUAAUAGAUGGUUGCAAGAUUAUGUUGUGGCCAGACAACAAGUCUAAAUGGUUAAGGCAACAAGAUUUUGGUUGUUUAGGUUCCUUAUUCCUUGCGGUCUUCUUGGCCCAGCUUUUCCUCCCAUACUUAGGCUCUACCCUCUCUCCCCGAAUGUUUCUCUCAUC
rnacentral:lncRNA from 1 species